UACGUAGGUCCCGAGCGUUGUCCGGAUUUAUUGGGCGUAAAGCGAGCGCAGGCGGUUUGAUAAGUCUGAAGUAAAAGGCUGUGGCUUAACCAUAGUAUGCUUUGGAAACUGUCAAACUUGAGUGCAGAAGGGGAGAGUGGAAUUCCAUGUGUAGCGGUGAAAUGCGUAGAUAUAUGGAAGAACACCAGUGGCGAAAGCGGCUCUCUGGUCUGUAACUGACGCUGAGGUUCGAAAGCGUGGGUAGCAAACAGGAUUAGAUACCCGUG
rnacentral:rRNA from 1 species